rnacentral:rRNA from 1 species
UACGUAGGGGGCAAGCGUUGUCCGGAAUCAUUGGGCGUAAAGCGCGUGUAGGCGGCUCGAUAAGUCUGCUGUGAAAGUCCAGGGCUCAACCCUGGGAUGCCGGUGGAUACUGUCGAGCUCGAGUCCGGAAGAGGCGAGUGGAAUUCCCAGUGUAGCGGUGAAAUGCGUAGAUAUCAGGAGGAACACCGAUGGCGAAGGCAGCUCGCUGGGACGGUACUGACGCUGAGGCGCGAAAGCGUGGGGAGCAAACAGG